rnacentral:misc_RNA from 1 species
AAAUGUUUACAUAUUGGUUAACAGUAUUAACAAAAGUAAAAUUUCUUUUAUUCACUCAAAUUUAUUUAAUUGCGAAUUUCCCUUUACUACUGACAUUUUCCCACCACCAGUAUAUACUUGAGUUCAUUAAAUUGCAAGUUGCUCUUCCAAUUCAUUCCCAAAAUGGGCCUAGGGAUAAUAUCUUCAUCUCAUAAACUUCUCAAGAAUCAAAUCAACUUCUUUAAGCAAAUGGCGUGAGUAAAUUGGUGAUUGGUAGUCCAGCUGCAGGUUACUUGCCCAUUGCCAUGCUAGCCACAAGUACAAGGACGAA